rnacentral:rRNA from 1 species
UACAGGGGGUGCAAACGUUGCUCGGAAUUAUUGGGCGUAAAGCGCGCGUAGGCGGCUACUUAAGUCGGAUGUGAAAGCCCUUGGCUCAACUGAGGAAGUGCACCCGAAACUGAGUGGCUAGAGUACGAAAGAGGGUCGCGGAAUUCCCGGUGUAGAGGUGAAAUGCGCAGAUAUCAGGAGGAACACCUAUUGCGAAGGCAGCUCGCUGGGACGUUACUGACGCUGAGACGCGAAAGCGUGGGGAGCAAACAGG